UAGGGAAUCUUCCACAAUGGACGCAAGUCUGAUGGAGCAACGCCGCGUGAGUGAAGAAGGUCUUCGGAUCGUAAAGCUCUGUUGUUGGUGAAGAAGGAUAGAGGCAGUAACUGGUCUUUAUUUGACGGUAAUCAACCAGAAAGUCACGGCUAACUACGUGCCAGCAGCCGCGGUAAUACGUAGGUGGCAAGCGUUGUCCGGAUUUAUUGGGCGUAAAGCGAGCGCAGGCGGAAUGAUAAGUCUGAUGUGAAAGCCCACGGCUCAACCGUGGAACUGCAUCGGAAACCGUCAUUCUUGAGUGCAGAAGAGGAGAGUGGAACUCCAUGUGUAGCGGUGGAAUGCGUAGAUAUAUGGAAGAACACCAGUGGCGAAGGCGGCUCUCUGGUCUGCAACUGACGCUGAGGCUCGAAAGCAUGGGUAGCGAACAGGAUUAGAUACCCUUGGUAGUCCAUGC
rnacentral:rRNA from 1 species